rnacentral:sRNA from 1 species
GAUUCGUGGCCGCUGUUUCCCUUGUGCAACUGCUGCUGAUGCUUGGCCACCAAGGCUGCCGUGUUGCUAGCUCCCCCGGCGGCUGCUGCCUUCGCCUUGAGGAUCUGCUGGAGAUGUUGCUGGUGGGCCAGCUGCUGCUGCUGUUGCUGCAGAAUCUGCUGCUGCGUGGCAAUCAAUUUCUGGUUGGGAUUCGCCUGCUGUUGCAGUUGCUGCUGCUGCUGCAUCUGCUGCUGCUGAUGGUGAUGCACGUUGGGUAUGCGUCCCAGAACCUGUGGACUCAUCACUGA